rnacentral:RNase_P_RNA from 19 species
UGAGACGACCAGACAGCCGCGUUACCUUGAAUUCAGGUAAUGAGGAAAGUCCGGGCUCCAUAGGGCAGGGUGCCAGGUAACGCCUGGGGGGCGUGAGCUUACGGAAAGUGCCGCAGAAAAUAUACCGCCUAAGCGUCUGCGGGCGCCGGUAAGGGUGAAAUGGUGCGGUAAGAGCGCACCGCGCGGGUGGCAACACACCGUGGCAAGGUAAACCCCACUCGGAGCAAGGCCAAAUAGAGGAACAAAGAUGUGGCCCGCAUCGUUCCUGGGUAGGCUGCUUGAGGUGCAUGGUGACAUGUAUCCCAGAUGAAUGGCUGUCCACGACAGAACCCGGCUUAUCGGUCGUCUCAAUCC